rnacentral:rRNA from 1 species
UAUUCCCCACUGCUGCCUCCCGUAGGAGUCUGGGCCGUGUCUCAGUCCCAAUGUGGCCGUUCACCCUCUCAGGCCGGCUACUGAUCGUCGCCUUGGUGAGCUAUUACCUCACCAACUAGCUAAUCAGACGCGGGACCAUCCUGUACCACCGGAGUUUUUCACACGGUAAGAUGUCUUACUGUGCGCUUAUGCGGUAUUAUCAGUCGUUUCCAACUGCUAUCCCCCGGUACAGGGCAGGUUUCCCACGCGUUACUCACCCGUCCGCCACUCAGUCAUCAAUUCGUCACCCCGAAGGGAUCGUGUAAAGAUGCUUCGUUCGACUUGCAUGUGUUAAGCACGCCGCCAGCGUUCAUCCUGAGCCAAA